rnacentral:lncRNA from 1 species
UGGUAAAAGCACAAAAAAUUAUAUGUUGUAUCUCUUCCUCCUUUACCACAUAUUAUGGUGAUCCUGCUUCUCCUUCUCUUCCAUUAACAAAGACAUUUUUUAAUUUUCAGGUCUUACAAUUUCAGAGACAACUCAUGAGGUUCAAUUGCUGCAAGUAGUUUUCACAUCCCCAAAUCAGCCAACAAGUGUUCUGUUUUAUUUAUUUUGUGUACUGUGUGAGAUUGAGAUCGAGAUUGUGUUGGUUAGACAGCCUAUUUGAUUUCUAAGCAUAAAUUGUUGCGUGAUAUGUUCAAACAUAUAUAAUACUUAGUUUCUACUUGGUGUACUCUUAGUUCCUUUCUCCCUUAUUUGAACUUGAGUUGAGCUUGCUUAGCAUUGAAUUGUCUUCAUUAUUUUCAGCUUAAGCUUUGUUAGCUAUAUAGUCCUAUAAUAUUGUUUGUUCCCAACUAGGUGCAUCUUUUAUCUA